rnacentral:rRNA from 1 species
UUUCGCAAUGCCCGAAAGGGUGACGAAGCGACGCCGCGUGUGGGAAGAAGGCCUUCGGGUUGUAAACCACUGUCAGGAGUUAGGAAAUACAAGGGUGUUAAUAGCGCCUUUGUUUGACUAAGGCUCCAGAGGAAGCCACGGCUAACUCUGUGCCAGCAGCCGCGGUAAUACAGAGGCGGCAAGCGUUGUUCGGAAUUAUUGGGCGUAAAGAGCACGUAGGCGGCCUUGCAAGUCAGUUGUGAAAGCCUUCCGCUCAACGGAAGAAUGCCAGCUGAUACUACAGGGCUUGAGUACGGGAGGGGAGAGUGGAACUUCUGGUGGAGCGGUGAAAUGCGUAGAUAUCAGAAGGAACGCCGGCGGCGAAAGCGACUCUCUGGCCCGAAACUGACGCUGAGUGUGCGAAAGCUAGGGGAGCAAACGGGAUUAGAUACCCCGGUAGUCCUAGCCGUAAACGAUGGGCACUAAGUAGAGGGGUUUUA